CUGAAGUAGACUCAGGUUCCCACCAUCAACCUGAGAGUCAAACACAACCAUGUGUAGUGAGCAGCAAAGUAAAUUAUGAAGAUUGGCCCACUUGUCAGUCAAACAUCACUGUACCAAAGGGCCAUUCCACCAUUUCUGCAACCAAUGGCUUGUCACCUAGGGCUUGCCUUUCCACUGUUUCUGCAACCAAGGGCCUACCACAGAUGUCAGGUCAAACGCCACCAUAUGUAGUGAGCAGCAAAGUCAAUUAUGAAGAAUGGCCCAUGCGUCAGUCAAACAUCACUGUAUCAAAGGGCCAUUCCACCAUUUCUGCAUCCAAGGGCUUGUCACCUAGGGCUUGCUUUUCCACUGUGUUUGCAACCAAGGGCCUACCACAGAUGCCAGGUCAAACAUACACUGGCAGAAGAAGGCACACAGUCCUGAGUGUGAAAAUAAAAAAGCACUCUCACAGAGGAAUUCAUAUCACACCAUCAGAAAGGAUAAUUCGGUUGAAGGAAAUGCAGAGGGAGUCAUCUUCUGAGGUCUCAUCAGUUUCAGUGGAGAUGUUUUCUGAAAGCCAUGGACACAGAAGAGGGUGUUUUGGAUGGCUCCUCUCUAAGCUUAUGUGCACUGAAGACAUCCACUGGUUCGAGUAAUGUUUGAGUGUAACCAAACAUUCAAACCUAAGGUGGAGGAAUGUAAAUAAAUCAAAGCAAGCCUA